rnacentral:misc_RNA from 1 species
GAUGAAGAACGCAGCGAAAUGCGAUAAGUAAUGUGAAUUGCAGAAUUCAGUGAAUCAUCGAAUCUUUGAACGCACAUUGCGCCCGCCAGUAUUCUGGCGAGCAUGCCUGUUCGAGCGUCAUUUCAACCAUCAAGCCCCAGGCUUGUGUUGGAGCCCUGCGGCUGCCGCAGCCUCCCAAAACCAGUGGCGGGCUCGCUAUCACACCGAGUGCAGUAGUUUACUCUUCGCUCAGGGCGUGUGGCGGGUGCUAGCCGUGAAACCCCCAACUUCUCAAGGUUGGCCUCGGAUCAGGUAGGAAUACCCGCUGAACUUAAGCAUAUCAAUAAGCGGAGGA